GAGUUUGAUCAUGGCUCAGGAUUAACGCUGGCGGCAUGCCUAAUACAUGCAAGUCGAACGGAGUAGCAAUACUUAGUGGCGAACGGGUGAGUAACACGUAUCUAAUCUACCAUUUAGUGGGGAAUAACUGUUGGAAACGACAGCUAAUACCGCAUAAUAUUGCUGGAUAAUUUCCAGUAAUGAAAGGAGCUUUCAAGCUCCGCUGAUUGAUGAGGAUGCGGCGCAUUAGCUAGUUGGUAGGGUAAUGGCCUACCAAGGCAAUGAUGCGUAGCCGAUCUGAGAGGAUGAACGGCCACAUUGGGACUGAGACACGGCCCAAACUUCUACGGAAGGCAGCAGUAGGGAAUUUUUCACAAUGGGCGAAAGCCUGAUGGAGCAAUGCCGCGUGACUGAUGAAGGUCUUCGGAUUGUAAAGGUCUGUUGUAAGGGAAGAAAUGGUAAAACAGGAAAUGGUUUUAUCUAUGACGGUACCUUACCAGAAAGCCACGGCUAACUAUGUGCCAGCAGCCGCGGUAAUACAUAGGUGGCAAGCGUUAUCCGGAUUUAUUGGGCGUAAAGGGUGCGUAGACGGUUUUGCAAGUCUGA
rnacentral:rRNA from 1 species